GAUGGGAGAGAGAGGUACAGAUGGAGAGAGAGAGAGAGAGAGAGAGAGAGAGAGAGAGGUAAAUAUAUAUAGAGAGAUAUAAAGAUGGAGAGAGGGAGGAAGAAAUAAAGAUAGAAGCAGAGAGAGUAUUCCUUCUGAGUUGCUGUAGCUAGGCUGCAGUGUGUGAUUAUGAAGAGUGUGUGGGUUCUGUCUGAUAUGUACAGGCUGCAGUGUGUGAUUAUGAAGAGUGUGUGGGUUCUGUCUGAUAUGUACAGGCUGCAGUGUGUGAUUAUGAAGAGUGUGUGGGUUCUCUCUGAUAUGUACAGGCUGCAGUGUGUGAUUAUGAAGAGUGUGUGGGUUCUCUCUGAUAUGUACAGGCUGCAGUGUGUGAUUAUGAAGAGUGUGUGGGUUCUCUCUGAUAUGUACAGGCUGCAGUGUGUGAUUAUGAAGAGUGUGUGGGUUCUGUCUGAUAUGUACAG
ensembl:lncRNA